rnacentral:rRNA from 1 species
CGCGUAGGCGGCUCAGCAAGUCGGGUGUGAAAUCCCUCGGCUUAACCGAGGAACUGCACCCGAUACUGCCGAGCUUGAGUCCGGGAGAGGAGAGUGGAAUUCCCAGUGUAGCGGUGAAAUGCGUAGAUAUUGGGAGGAACACCGGUGGCGAAGGCGGCUCUCUGGACCGGUACUGACGCUGAGGCGCGAAAGCCAGGGGAGCAAACA